rfam:Glycine max cultivar Williams 82 chromosome 20, whole genome shotgun sequence.
UUCUUAUUGAAUGAUGACUGACACGUGUCAUGUUCUGAUUGAAUGUUGAAUUCAUUGAAGAUGAAAUGGAUUGUUGUUGUCAUUCGUCAAUCAGAAUAUGACAGGUGUCAAUUAUCAUAA